UACGUAGGGGGCAAGCGUUGUCCGGAUUUAUUGGGCGUAAAGAGCGUGUAGGCGGCCAUACAGGUCAGCUGUGAAAACUCGAGGCUCAACCUCGAGACGUCGGUUGAAACCGUAUGGCUAGAGUCCGGAAGAGGCGAGUGGAAUUCCUGGUGUAGCGGUGAAAUGCGCAGAUAUCAGGAGGAACACCCGUAGCGAAGGCAGG
rnacentral:rRNA from 1 species